CCAUACGGGUUGAAGCAUGACCGUAAGGACAUGUGGACAGUAUGGGAGUGAGAAUGUUGGCAUGAGUAGCGAGAUGUGGGUGAGAAUCCCACAGGCCGUAAACCCAAGGUUUCCAGGGGAAGGUUCGUCCGCCCUGGGUUAGUCGGGACCUAAGCUGAGGCCGAAAGGCGUAGGUGAUGGACAACAGGUUGAUAUUCCUGUACUACCGAUAACCGUUUGAGAGAUGGGAUGACACAGUAGGAUAAGCUAAGCACACUGUUGGUUAUGUGUGCCCAAGCAUUGAGGCAGUCAAAGUAGGCAAAUCCGCUUUGAUAAUGCUGGGAUGUGAUGGGGAGCGAAAUUUAGUAGCGAAGUAGCUGAUUUCACACUGUCAAGAAAAGUCUCUAUCGAGGUUAAAGGUACCCGUACCGCAAACCGACACAGGUGGGUGAGGAGAGUAUCCUAAGGCCAGCGAGAGAACUGUUGUUAAGGAACUCGGCAAAAUGACCCCGUAACUUAGGGAUAAGGGGUGCCACCAUCAGGUGGCCGCAGAGAAUAGGCCCAAGCGACUGUUUACCAAAAACAUAGGUUUCUGCUAAGUCGCAAGACGAUGUAUAGGAGCUGACGCCUGCCCGGUGCUGGAAGGUUAAGGGGAUCUGUUAGAGCAAUCGAAGCAGUGAACUUAAGCCCCAGUAAACGGCGGCCGUAACUAUAACGGUCCUAAGGUAGCGAAAUUCCUUGUCGGGUAAGUUCCGACCCGCACGAAAGGCGUAACGAUUUGGGCACUGUCUCAACAACAGACUCGGUGAAAUUGUAAUUCCGGUGAAGAUGCCGGAUACCUGCGACAGGACGGAAAAGACCCCAUGGAGCUUUACUGUAGCUUGACAUUGGGUCUUGGUACUACAUGUACAGGAUAGGUGGGAGGCUUUGAAACCAGGACGCCAGUUUUGGCGGAGCCAUCCUUGGGAUACCACCCUUGUAGUACUGGGACUCUAACCAUAGGCCAUGAAUCUGGUCUUGGGACACUGUCAGGUGGGCAGUUUGACUGGGGCGGUCGCCUCCCAAAAGGUAACGGAGGCGCUCAAAGGUUCUCUCAGUACGGUCGGAAAUCGUACGUAGAGUGUAAAGGCAAAAGAGAGCUUGAUUGCAAGACAUACAGGUCGAGCAAGGAUGAAAAUCGGACUUAGUGAUCCGGUGGUUCUGCGUGGAAGGGCCAUCGCUCAACGGAUAAAAGCUACCCUGGGGAUAACAGGCUUAUCUCCCCCAAGAGUCCACAUCGACGGGGAGGUUUGGCACCUCGAUGUCGGCUCAUCACAUCCUGGGGCUGUAGUAGGUCCCAAGGGUUGGGCUGUUCGCCCAUUAAAGUGGUACGCGAGCUGGGUUCAGAACGUCGUGAGACAGUUCGGUCCCUAUCCGUCGCAGGCGUAGGAAAUUUGAGAAGACCUGUCCUUAGUACGAGAGGACCGGGAUGGACGUACCUCUGGUGUACCAGUUGUCCUGCCAAGGGCAUGGCUGGGUAGCUAUGUACGGAAUGGAUAAGCGCUGAAAGCAUCUAAGCGCGAAGCCAACUUCAAGAUAAGAUUUCCCACCGCAAGGGUAAGACCCCAGAAAGACUAUCUGGUUGAUAGGUCGAAGGUGUAAGUGCAGCAAUGUAUUUAGCUUAUCGAUACUAAUAGGUCGAGGACUUGACCAA
rnacentral:rRNA from 1 species